GAACACCCUGUAUAGUCAUCCCUCGAUUUACGUCGUUUUGACUAACGUCAUCUAUCGCGGAACUAAUUACAACGUAAAUUCGGGGUAUGACUGUACUAUACCAAUAGGACAUGAAUAUAAAUCAAUGGAAUUCGAGUUGCAUAACAUCAUUUUUGUUCUGAGAAAUAAGAAAAAUCUAAUUAACUGUACCUACGAAAUCCUACCCGCCGCAUUUAGCAACUCCGCACAGAUGACCUUAGAAAUGUUCUGCUUUACGGAAGCUCGCGUCUAAUAGCCUGCAACCUUCGAAAAUCCGCGACCACACCAUCUCAAUAACCGACAAAAGAGGAGGUCCAGUGUUUUUACCUGAAGCUUGAGACCUUCACUGUAAAAUGCAGAUAACUAGUUCUUCUUGUAAAUCCAUCAAGUGUACAAUUCAGACCACUAGUACAGUAGGCUCCCUAGGGCACGUCCGUAGACGAAAUAGUGAACAGCGGACCCUCAACGUAUCCUAGGAGACAACGCAGAAUAUCCUCUCUUCUUCAAGAACGUAGACGUUGGGGCGACCGAUUCAUUAACCUGCUUGAAUUGGUAUUUGUAAGUUAUUUUAUCAAAAUUGUAAAGCUCUUUGUUCCUAACUUCCAUUUGGAUACGUUAAGUUCAUCGUAAAGACAACCACCCUCUGACAAAUAUUGGUAUAGUAGAAGCUCGUUCAUUCGACCUUCGAUUAAUCGAGGCCCCGCAUUAACCGAAACACCCAACUCAUUCGAGCACUCUGCAUUAGCCGAGGUGUAUGCGUGAAUAACACGGAAAAACUCUGAUAAAACGGAUGUGACAGUUAUGCCUAUGCGCGGAGUAGCCCGUAGCUGCUACAUUAUUUCUUACAGGCAUAAACUUGCAUGAGCCAGUUUCGUUCUUAUAUUGCGAGUUAUUACUGGAACAGUUCCAAUCCUGAAGUCAAUGGUAGAACAUCGUGAUGACUCAAAAAAGGAAAAAGAUUAUAGUGAGUGUAGAACAGAAGUUACAAGUAGUAAAAAGAUUUGAUUGGGGCGAAAUUAUUCGCAAUGUCGCAGCCGAUUAUGGAAUUGCAGAGACCACUGUAGGAGAUUGGCGUCAGAAUCAAGCUAAUUUGGAACGAUUUACGACCUAAUUCUGUGGUGCAAUGAAAACUCGUAAAACGAUGAAACCAGCAGAGUAUGAUAAAAUAAAUACGACUUUAUUCUUAUGAUUUACUCGAAUCAGGGAAAAGAGACUGCCCGUAACAGGCUAUGACUCUCGCGAAACUGUUUCCUGGCAAAAGGCAGACUUUUACAACAAGCUCUUAAUGGCUAGAGAAAAAGGAUGAAAAGGCACGAUAUUCGUCAUUUGAACAUUUAUGGCGAAAUAUUGUCAACUGAUGAAGUUGGACUGAAUGAUUCUCCAUGAUCCAUCAACACAGCACCUGUUCAGUACCCCGAUGACGAUAGAAGGGCAAACACAUCACCACUACUUAUUUUUGAAGAUGUUAUAAACUGGAAAAAAAUGUAAAUAGUAAGGAUCUAAUAUCCACAGCAAUUCAAAAAAACUGCUACUCUGCUCUACCGAAUAAACGAUUAAACGCCUCUACUACUAUUACUACUGCUACUGCUGCUACUGCUGCUACUGCUGCUACUACUACUACUACUACUACUACUAGACCAUUAAGUGUAAGAAUUUUUAAUCUUGUACACGUUUAUUUGAUUUAAAAAAUUAUAUUACAUUUACAAAUUUUUAAAAAUAUAAAUUAUGUGGUCGAGGGUCCAUUUAAGGAACCGCUACAAGAUGGCAUACAGCUACCGGAGAACGAAUAUUUGGACUCCCUCUAAUUUGGAAUUGUAUUACGGGUACAUGCGCAUGCAACCACCCGAAACGUGAACUGUGUACACCCCACUAGUAUUGCACUACCUACUCGUAAACACGGAGAUCGAUGUAGAUACGGGGGUGUGCAUGCUCUGCGCGCGGUGCGUCAUGCAUGCGUAUGCAUCUGCAACGUGCACCGGUUGUAUCGAUUAUUAUACAUAUAGAGUUUCGGGAUACAAUCGUAAUGUGGCGAUGAAGUCCCUGCCCCGCAAUUAUAAACACUGUUUUUGUUAUUACUAUUACUAUAUUACUCUUAUUAUCAUUAAAUAUUGUGACGUGGCACUUUGUGCACGUUACAAAAAGAUUAGAGAAUAGACGAACUCAUAGCUGCACUCUGAGGUCUGCAAGGUAACAUAAGAUUUGCGUCAAUCAUAGACUGACAUUAUCAAUAGGAAUUAUUAUUAAUUCCCUUCGGGGUAUGUAUUUUGUGUUUUGCAAAUGGGAGUCGGUUCCGUAAAGGAAUCGACAACAUAUUAGGACGCAAAAGGGCCCACGAGGGACUAACAACAGCCCUGACUACUUCAAAGGAUCUCAGAAGGGACGCUGCAACCACCCAGAAGAGGAAAAGAUGCCGGGAUCUACUUUUCUAGGAUCGAGGAGAACAAUGGAAGAUUGUGCGUGAAUCAACCGGAUUCGGGGAUAGCGCAAAUCUUAUUGGGCCGAAGUACUAUAUUCCUCUGUUAUAUCCCAAAGCGGAUCUACUCAAGUAAAUGCAAUCGGUAAAUUCUUUUCGGCACAUCGAACUUUUUGAUUGCCUCAUGUAAUUCCUGGAACGCUGAGUAGCAGGCCACGCGUUCACACUACAUGCCAGCGCGAGGAAUGAAGCAAGACUCUUUCUGCAAGAUCAUCAAUAUUGCGGUGCAUUAUCCCAAAAAUUGGAGCUAAUGCACCUACAGUAUUCGGAACCAAUAGGCAAUCUUUCGCGAAUCCUGGCAACAGACGGAACUCGUCUAGGAGUCACCGUCUAAAUCAUCGAGUCUUGCUUGUUCCUCCGCUGGUAGUAUUUUACGUGUCUUCGGAUCCUUGUGACCAAGCCUUCCCACCCGAGGGCCAGGGAAGUCAUCGCGAUGAGCGUUCUAUUAAAUCUAUCGCGAGUGUAACAGACGACGGAUUUCCACAAAAAGAAUUCAGUGAAGUGCAAUAUCAACUCUUUCAAACAUAUCAGCCAUUGUAAGUCAACUUAUCUUACCUACAAUAAAUAAUC